UAAAGGGGAAGAAAGCAAGGAUAAGGAAGGAUAAGAGGAUGAGGCGAUGGAUUUUGAUGAGUAGGAGGAUGAUUAAACUUUUAAUUUUUGGUUUUAAGGAUUCUAUUAAUUUUCGAAUAACUUUUAUUUGAACAUUUUAGGAGUAGAAUUAACAAUAGAUUUUAUUUUUUUUCUUUUCUAUUUUAAGCUUUUUAUGUAGGAACCCCAAAUAAUGAAGCAGGACAAGUUCAAAU
rnacentral:lncRNA from 1 species